GCCAGGUCGUUCCGUGACGGGUAACCCGUCAACCCCGCCAGGCCCGGAAGGGAGCAACGGUACUCGGGGAAUCCGGGUGCGGGACGGCCACUUUUU
rnacentral:SRP_RNA from 1 species